rnacentral:rRNA from 1 species
UUUUAAAUGAAGACCUGUAUGAAUGGCAUUACGAGGGCUCAACUGUCUCCUUUUUCCAGUCAGUGAAAUUGACCUGCUCGUGCAGAGGCGAGCAUAACCCCAUAAGACGAGAAGACCCUAUGGAGCUUAAACACAAGAUCAACUAUG